GAUGAACGCUGGCGGCGUGCUUAACACAUGCAAGUCGAGCGAUGAAGUUUCCUUCGGGAAACGGAUUAGCGGCGGACGGGUGAGUAACACGUGGGUAACCUGCCUCAUAGAGUGGAAUAGCCUUCCGAAAGGAAGAUUAAUACCGCAUAAUGUUGAAAGAUGGCAUCAUCAUUCAACCAAAGGAGCAAUCUGCUAUGAGAUGGACCCGCGGCGCAUUAGCUAGUUGGUGGGGUAACGGCCUACCAAGGCGACGAUGCGUAGCCGACCUGAGAGGGUGAUCGGCCACAUUGGGACUGAGACACGGCCCAGACUCCUACGGGAGGCAGCAGUGGGGAAUAUUGCACAAUGGGGGAAACCCUGAUGCAGCAACGCCGCGUGAGUGAUGAAGGUUUUCGGAUCGUAAAGCUCUGUCUUUGGGGAAGAUAAUGACGGUGCCCAAGGAGGAAGCCACGGCUAACUACGUGCCAGCCGCCGCGGUAA
rnacentral:rRNA from 1 species